AACUCCAUGUUUGUUGUGCCUGUUUUCCCGGCGUUAGAGUCCCUACGGCGGAUAAAUGUCGCCAAGUUAAAGAGGAUGCGACGUCCCGAGGCAAAGAGCAUUUUUGGAAGUCACCAAACGUGUCGACAUGCCCCGGUUUUUCUGACGGACGCCGGCCAACGUCUCAGCAGGAGGAGCUGCGAUCAGACUUCAGACUGAAGCUUUGGAAAUAGAUCAGUCUGCAGCGCGACAGACACAAGAUACAAAGAGCUGAAAGGCAGAGCAAAACCGCUGACCUCGUCACUAACCAGGGAAAAGAAGCUGAAUCGCAUGAAACUGACUCAGAACGGAGCAUCAUACGUCUACCACGGAUUUGUCUCUUGAGAGCAGAAUUCACAUUUCUGCCCAAAAGAGUAUGUCCUCCUCCUGAUUGUUCAUAAAGGGAAAUAUAUUCCUAUUUCCCAGAUAUUACCCACAAUAUACAUGCUUACUUCUCUUUGCAGAUGUGCAAACAGAGCAAAUAUGUUACGGAACCUAAUGAAAGUUUGUUGAAAACUACAGUGAAUAACUUUGUAGAUGCUAAAUUAAUCAAGUGGUUUGGCAUGUUUAAGUGAACAUGCUCUUCAU